rnacentral:rRNA from 1 species
CAGUGCUAUCGCUCCAGCUCCACACACCUGAUCUCGUCUGAUCUUGGAAGCUAAGCAAGAUUGGGCCUGAUUGGUGCUUGGAUGGGAGACCACCUAGGACUAUUAUAGUAGUCCUGC